GUGUCUGUCUUUCUUUCAGUAAGAGUUAAGAAUCCAGCAUCGAACCAACCCAGCUUGAAUACAAACCAUGUUCCCUGCAUCUCUGCUGCUGCUGCUUGUAGCUGCAUCAUGUGUGCACUGUGGUCUUGAGCUCACCCAACCAAGCUCAUUGGAUGUAAAGCCUGGAGAGUCUUUGAGCAUCACCUGUAAGGUCUCUGGUUAUUCUCUGACUGAUAGCAGCAACGUCUAUGGAAUAGGCUGGAUCCGUCAGCCUGUAGGAAAAGCACUUGAAUGGAUUUGGACCAUCUAUUAUGAUGGAAGCUCAAGAUCUCAAAGUUCCCUAAAAGACAGGUUCAGUGUCACAAGAGACACUUCCAGCAACACAGUGUUUUUAAAAGGACAGAAUCUGCAGACUGAAGACACAGCUGUGUACUAUUGUGCUCGGUGGCCACAGUGAUACAAACCACCAACAGACCAGUACAAAAACCCUAUAUGUAUGUGAUGAAUCAAGUACAAGCACAAACAGUAUGGCACUUAUUAGUAUAAGUAGAGUCCAAAUAAAUAACCAGUGGUGUAAAAGACUUAAGUAAAAAUACUUAACUAGUCUCUUGGGGUAUUUGUACUUUACUAUUUAUACUUUUUAAAACUUAUCAUUUUACAUUCCUAAGUAAAUGUCUGUACUUUUUAUUCCAUACAUUUUCCCUGACACCCAAAAGUACACGUUACGUUUUGAAUGCCUAGCAUGACAGGAAAGUGGACCGAGUCAUGUACUUAACAAGAGAACAUCCCUGG